UACGUAGGGGGCUAGCGUUGUCCGGAAUCAUUGGGCGUAAAGAGCGUGUAGGCGGUCCGGUAAGUCCGCUGUGAAAGUCGGGGGCUCAACCCUCGAAUGCCGGUGGAUACUGUCGGGCUAGAGUGCGGAAGAGGCGAGUGGAAUUCCUGGUGUAGCGGUGAAAUGCGCAGAUAUCAGGAGGAACACCGGUGGUGUAGACGGCUCACUGGACCAUAACUGACGCUGAGACACGAAAGCGUGGGUAGCAAACAGG
rnacentral:rRNA from 1 species